ensembl:rRNA 5S_rRNA 5S ribosomal RNA
GCUUACGGCCAUACCACCCUGAACACGCCCGAUCUCGUCUGAUCUCGGAAGCUAAGCAGGGUCGGGCCUGGUCAGUACUUGGAUGGGAGACCGCUGGAAUACCAGGUGCUGUAAGCU